GCAUUGUCAUGUGUUGGAUCAGACUGUGCUAUGGUUUUACUGGUGUUACUGGUUGUGCUGGUGAGACAAUGUGUUCACAGGAAACCUUAAGAUAAAGCUGCAGGAGAUGAUGUCACAUACAUUCAAAUAUCACAUCGCUGGCUGUGAGACAAAGCAGAAGUAAUAACGAGGGACCUUUGACACUGAUCCAGCUGCAGUUUACUCAGCAGUGAGAACUGAAGACGUCACUUAUGGAAAAAUCAUCACAGACAAGAACAAACGAUCACAGACGAGAGUUCUGAUCUCACUGCUGAGCUG